AAUUCAAAGCCCUGAUGUGUUCAAGGAUCAAGUUAACUAAGUAUUUGUAACCCCCAAUAUUGGUGACCAUGGCUGCUCUAGCGUUUUUGGAUUGAUGGGAGAAAUAUUGAUGAUGGGGUUUAUUAUGGUGCAACGCGAGCAUGCGCUCUCGGCCUUUUCAUUUUCAUCCUCGGGCAAGUGCAGACGAAUUCCAGGCGAUCAAGAAAAAAUCCAAUUAAAUCGGCUAAGAUGAGUACGGGAAUGUUAAGAGCGGGAUCUACUAGGCGCUCUAAAACCAGAUCGCCUUAUGCCAGACCACCGGCUCGGGCAGAAGUCCCUGUAGCUCUCCCAUCACAACCUCGCAAUUCCUCGCUGACGAGUGCACUCCCUACACAGCAGCAUCAAUCCAGCCAAUCCACUUUAAGUGCUGACAUACAUCAAGAUGCACCCGGGGUCAUUCCAUUACACACCACGCAGCCCACCAUCACCCCAGAUGUUUAUCUUCAAGGAAACGCUAGGCCUGCAGUGGCUAUACCUACUGAAAAUGUACCACACCAAACAGUACGCAUGUAAACCCUCUUGUUAGUAUCACGGCAGAUCUUGGGGCUAACAUUCCAUUGUCAUUACAGGAAAAAAUAUGGAAUAAUGAAUAUAUAGAUCUUGCCAAGCUAUUGCAUUUAUAUCCUGCAGCUGAAACCCAACAACUCCUUGUGUUUGAAGGUGGUCAAAUCAAAAUUAAAAACAAAUCUAAAGAUAAAAAAA